rnacentral:rRNA from 1 species
GGCGGGACACGUGUUAUCCUGUCUGAAUAUGGGGGGACCAUCCUCCAAGGCUAAAUACUCCUGACUGACCGAUAGUGAACCAGUACCGUGAGGGAAAGGCGAAAAGAACCCCUGUGAGGGGAGUGAAAUAGAACCUGAAACCGUGUACGUACAAGCAGUAGGAGCACCUUCGUGGUGUGACUGCGUACCUUUUGUAUAAUGGGUCAGCGACUUAUAUUCAGUGGCAAGGUUAACCAUCUAGGGGAGCCGUAGGGAAACCGAGUCUUAACUGGGCGCCAUAGUCUCUGGAUAUAGACCCGAAACCGAGUGAUCUAGCCAUGGGCAGGUUGAAGGUUGAGUAACAUCAACUGGAGGACCGAACCGACUAAUGUUGAAAAAUUAGCGGAUGACUUGUGGCUAGGGGUGAAAGGCCAAUCAAACUCGGAGAUAGCUGGUUCUCCCCGAAAGCUAUUUAGGUAGCGCCUCGGACGAAUACUACUGGGGGUAGAGCACUGUUAAGGCUAGGGGGUCAUCCCGACUUACCAACCCUUUGCAAACUCCGAAUACCAGUAAGUACUAUCCGGGAGACACACGGCGGGUGCUAACGUCCGUCGUGGAGAGGGAAACAACCCAGACCGCCAGCUAAGGUCCCAAAUUACAGCUAAGUGGGAAACGAUGUGGGAAGGCUUAGACAGCUAGGAUGUUGGCUUAGAAGCAGCCAUCAUUUAAAGAAAGCGUAAUAGCUCACUAGUCGAGUCGGCCUGCGCGGAAGAUGUAACGGGGCUAAGUU